GACGAAGGGGGCUAGCGUUGUUCGGAAUUACUGGGCGUAAAGCGUGCGCAGGCGGGCUUUUAAGCCAGACGUGAAAUCCCCGGGCUUAACCUGGGAAUGGCGUUUGGGACUGGAAGUCUGGAGUGCGGCAGAGGAGACUGGAAUUCCUGGUGUAGCAGUGAAAUGCGUAGAUAUCAGGAGGAACACCGAUGGCGAAGGCAGGUCUCUGGGCUGACACUGACGCUCAUGCACGAAAGCGUGGGGAGCAAACAGG
rnacentral:rRNA from 1 species